GAUGAACGCUGGCGGCGUGCCUAAUACAUGCAAGUCGAGCGAACAGACGAGGAGCUUGCUCCUCUGACGUUAGCGGCGGACGGGUGAGUAACACGUGGAUAACCUACCUAUAAGACUGGGAUAACUUCGGGAAACCGGAGCUAAUACCGGAUAAUAUAUUGAACCGCAUGGUUCAAUAGUGAAAGACGGUUUUGCUGUCACUUAUAGAUGGAUCCGCGCCGCAUUAGCUAGUUGGUAAGGUAACGGCUUACCAAGGCAACGAUGCGUAGCCGACCUGAGAGGGUGGUCGGCCACACUGGAACUGAGACACGGUCCAGACUCCUAAGGGAGGCAGCAGUAGGGAAUCUUCCGCAAUGGGCGAAAGCCUGACGGAGCAACGCCGCGUGAGUGAUGAAGGUCUUCGGAUCGUAAAACUCUGUUAUUAGGGAAGAACAAAUGUGUAAGUAACUAUGCACGUCUUGACGGUACCUAAUCAGAAAGCCACGGCUAACUACGUG
rnacentral:rRNA from 1 species